CACAAAGGGAAAAACACUUCAUUAGAAAAAGAAAAGUAUAUUCUUCACAAUGACAGUCAAUGUGGCGCUGAUUUGAACUGGUGGGCCGGAGAGCGAGAGCGGGGGGGGGGAGAAAAAAACUCCACAGCCUCCUCUUGCAUGACUGUGUUCUUUUUGGCUCUGACAACAUGAGCGGAUACAGGCCUAUAGAACAGCAGCUGGUUUGGCAAGUUGCCCUGGUUUGGAAUGUGUGCCUGUUUAGUAAAUGGAGCAGCAGCACAUGAGAGGCCAGAGGGCCGCUGGUGGCUACAAAGAGGCUGCAUCAUUUGAAAGAUAAUGAAAGUGGCAAGGCAUCCUGCUGAAUUACAAGAGGAAAAAAAACUCGUCUGCCAUUCAAUACACUCCCAAAACUAGAUUGGGGGGGCGACUGGUCGGGUUGCUGAAUUACACGUGUAUUAAAAAGCCAGCAGAGGAGCAGAAGCCCGCUGUUUUAUAGCAGAAAUCUGACACUGAGAACAUGAUAAUGUAUGCAAACGAAUAACAGUGCAGUGACCGAGAGCGGGAGACAGUGUUAUUUCCCAACACACACACACACACACACACACACACACACUAAAGAUCCGCUCUGUUAAUCAAAACGGAGCAGCUUUAUAGCAGCAGUAGUCGGUGAAAAGCCAGACAAAUCUGGUCAAUGAUUAGCGAGCAUGUGGCUGCAUUGUGAGGAGUAUUAAAAAGUGGCGCAAAACUGCCCUCCGUUUCAAGAAAGCUGACAAGCCCUCCCUCGAAAACAGCACCGUGUCCGCGGACGUGAUAAGACCUGUGUUCCCUGAGGGCGGCUCAGACGAUUCAGCCCUAACUCCUCGGGCCCAUCCCGGCACUUGCCCACUCUCGAAGUGUUGCCUGCCCCUCCCAGCUCGCGGUGUCGCCUGUCCAAGCAGCACCCGCAGCCUUCGGAGGGAGGGGGAGGGCGAGGUGGAGGUGAGGGGAGCAUCCCAUCCCGGCAGCACUCAACAUCCCAGACGUAAACAUGGGUGACAAAUGGGCCAUGAUAUCAGGUAUCGGGUGUCGGCGUGGAAGAUUUAUAAGGCACCAACUCUCUGGAGGUCCUAUACUAAAUUGCUGGAAUAGCCCUUUAAGGGAGCGAGGCAGCCUUGUGGCUACCAGUGGCUGUAAAACUCUUGACAGGACACCUCCAACUGUGGAAAAGUUUUUUUCAUAUUUUAAAAUAAUUUAAACCUGAAAGAAUUGGUGUAAAGACUGAAAAGGCGAGACCAAAGACAGGUGCGGUGAUGCUCAUGUUCGGUGAGGUGAACAAUAUACACUCAACUAUUUGCGAUUGUGCCGCAUCAGCUCACGGCAUGAACGGGCGCCAUCUGGAGUCUGGUUUCCAGUUCUCAGAAUACAUCCAUGGGUUUUACCACCCACAUCAUUCUGUAAGUUGUUUAGAGCCAGACCCUUUUAUUUACGCCGCUGAAAUGGAUUCUGGGUAGAGCUGAAGUGGGAUGAGGAAACAACAACUGACGAAGAUGCGCUGCCACUUUUGUGUGAGACACAAGCUUAGAAGGGCGACCGCACCGCUGAACAGUUUUCAAAACAGCCACAAGACACUCUUUAAGGAAGUGACUCUAUAAUUUCUUGGGAAAAAUGAAUCUCAUUGUAUUUCAACAGAGAAUUUCCCCCCUAAGACACUUCAACAGAGUUGGGGUUUACCAAAAACAGAAGUAUGUGACUCACCUAACCAGAAUAAGGGCGUCCGAUCCACAUAUGCUAAACAAAAUACCCGGUGUUGCAGUUGAGACCACCUAAACCGCGACCAAGCCAUGAGCAAGACCGACCCUUCGGAGGCCGAGACGAGGGCAAGACUUUGAGGGGGUUGAGACCAAGUCGAGACCGCGACCAACGCAAGUCACCCAUGCAUGAUAUACAAUAAGAUGUGGAACAUGCAAACCAUAGGCGCUCCACACUAAAAUUAAUCUGAUCCACAUUUGAGUAGAAAGCAGCCACAGAAAAACAAAUUAAAACUCUUCUUCGUUCA